rnacentral:rRNA from 1 species
ACCAUCNACGNUGGAUGCCUNGGCACUAGAAGNCGAUGAAGGACGUUACUAACGACGAUAUGCUUUGGGUAGCUGUAAGUAAGCGUUGAUCCAGAGAUUUCCGAAUGGGGGAACCCAGCAUGAGUUAUGUCAUGUUAUCGACAUGUGAAUUCAUAGCAUGUCAGAAGGCAGACCCGGAGAACUGAAACAUCUUAGUACCCNGAGGNAGAGAAANAANUAAUCGAUUCNCUGAGUAGCGGCGAGCGAAACGGGAAGAGCCCAAACCAACAAGCUUGCUUGUUGGGGUUGUAGGACACUCUAUACGGAGUUACAAAAGAACAUGUUANACGAAUCAUCUGGAAAGAUGAAUCAAAGAAGGUAAUAAUCCUGUAGUCGAAAACAUAUUCUCUCUUGAGUGGAUCCUGAGUACGACGGNNCACGNGAAAUUCCGUCGGAAUCNGGGAGGACCAUCUCCNAAGGCUAAAUACUCUCUNNNNACCGAUAGUGAACCAGNACNGUGAGGGAAAGGUGAAAAGUACCCCGGAAGGGGAGUGAAAGAGAACUUGAAACCGUGUGCUUACAAGUAGUCAGAGCCCGUUAAUGGGUGAUGGCGUGCCUUUUGUAGAAUGAACCGGCGAGUUACGAUCUGAUGCAAGGUUAAGCAGCGAAUGUGGAGCCGUAGCGAAAGCGAGUCUGAAUAGGGCGUUGAGUAUUUGGUCGUAGACCCGAAACCAGGUGAUCUACCCUUGGUCAGGUUGAAGUUCAGGUAACACUGAAUGGAGGACCGAACCGACUUACGUUGAAAAGUGAGCGGAUGAACUGAGGGUAGCGGAGAAAUUCCAAUCGAACUUGGAGAUAGCUGGUUCUCUCCGAAAUAGCUUUAGGGCUAGCCUCAAGUGAUGAUUAUUGGAGGUAGAGCACUGUUUGGACGAGGGGCCCCUCUCGGGUUACCGAAUUCAGACAAACUCCGAAUGCCAAUUAAUUUAACUUGGGAGUCAGAACAUGGGUGAUAAGGUCCGUGUUCGAAAGGGAAACAGCCCAGACCACCAGCUAAGGUCCCAAAAUAUAUGUUAAGUGGAAAAGGAUGUGGCGUUGCCCAGACAACUAGGAUGUUGGCUUANAAGCAGCCAUCAUUUAAAGAGUGCGUAAUAGCUCACUAGUCGAGUGACACUGCGCCGAAAAUGUACCGGGGCUAAACAUAUUACCGAAGCUGUGGAUUGUCCUUUGGACAAUGGUAGGAGAGCGUUCUAAGGGCGUCGAAGCAUGAUCGCAAGGACAUGUGGAGCGCUUAGAAGUGAGAAUGCCGGUGUGAGUAGCGAAAGACGGGUGAGAAUCCCGUCCACCGAUUGACUAAGGUUUCCAGAGGAAGGCUCGUCCGCUCUGGGUUAGUCGGGUCCUAAGCUGAGGCCGACAGGCGUAGGCGAUGGAUAACAGGUUGAUAUUCCUGUACCACCUAGUAUCGUUUUAAUCGAUGGGGGGACGCAGUAGGAUAGGCGAAGCGUGCUGUUGGAGUGCACGUCCAAGCAGUAAGGCUGAGUGUUAGGCAAAUCCGGCACUCAUAAGGCUGAGCUGUGAUGGGGAGAGGAAAUUGUUUCCUCGAGUCGUUGAUUUCACACUGCCGAGAAAAGCCUCUAGAUAGNNNACAGGUGCCCGUACCGCAAACCGACACAGGUAGUCAAGAUGAGAAUUCUAAGGUGAGCGAGCGAACUCUCGUUAAGGAACUCGGCAAAAUGACCCCGUAACUUCGGGAGAAGGGGUGCUCUUUAGGGUUCACGCCCAGAAGAGCCGCAGUGAAUAGGCCCAAGCGACUGUUUAUCAAAAACACAGGUCUCUGCUAAACCGUAAGGUGAUGUAUAGGGGCUGACGCCUGCCCGGUGCUGGAAGGUUAAGAGGAGUGGUUAGCUUCUGCGAAGCNACGAAUCGAAGCCCCAGUAAACGGCGGCCGUAACAAUAACGGUCCUAAGGUAGCGAAAUUCCUUGUCGGGUAAGUUCCGACCCGCACGAAAGGCGUAACGAUCUGGGCACUG